rnacentral:lncRNA from 1 species
GUGUGUUGGUUAUAUCCUUUUUGAGUAUUGUAGAUUGUUCACAGUUUGUAACUGGUGAAGCAAGAGGAAUGUCUUCAGGCUUUUUACAUUUUCUUUGUUUUCAUCAAAAUUUGUAUGUUCAGAACCAUUACAGGAAACAGAGUUUGUGAUUUUAUGUAUUUUCAUUAUGGUACAAAAAUAGGCAAUAGUUCUCCAAUAACCUUGUGAGACUAUGCUAUAGGACUAAGAGCCAUUAUCUCCCCAAAAAAACUCGGAAGUGUAAAAUCAGACUGAACAUAUAUUAUGUCAUUCUGCAACAGUUAUGCUUGAUUUUCAGUGAACAAGCUAAAAUUAGACAAAAGUUCUGCAACAAUGCUAUAAGACUAUGCUAAGAAUCUUAGAGCCAUUAUUUCUCAAAAUUGUGUAAAUUCAGAUUGAAAAUUUUAUUUAGACAGAUGAGAAACUCAUUUUAUUUGUCAUUCUGAAACAGUUACACAAGAGUUGAUCUUCAGAGAACAAGAUUCAUGAACAAUUUACACGAAAAGAAAAGAGAGGAAAACUCAACAAUUUACUGAAAUAUUUGAUAUCAAGAGUGUUAUGUUUAUAAACGAGAUAGUUUUUCAAGUCUCAAAAUAAAUUUUAGAGACUACCUUAGCUCCUCUUCCUUUAGCCAUAUAUAGACCUACAUGGUGCAUCAACUCCUGGUACAUAGAAACAUAGCAGAAGAAUAAGAAGAUGAACCGAUUCGACCAGAAAAAAUUAAACUAAACAUGCUAAUUUCAGAAGCAUCAAACUAUUCACCUGAGGAUGAGCCUGAGCGCCUUUGAUAUCUUUCGCAACAUGAAGAGGGAGGUCAAAAGUAGCGCAGCCACGCGAGUAAACUACCACAUCUUCUAGGGGAGAAAGAACACCGUGGUUUCGGGCAGAGAGUGCAGUAGCCACAAAAUCAAACACACAUAUGUCUGUACAGAUACCUACAACCACAAUCUUUAGAUCCCCAAAACAUAGGGAUGUUCAAGGAAGUUAAAGAUAUGAUUCCUAAAAGCAGUAAACUUGUUUAACAUAACUGAUCAUACAUAUCAUCAAAAGAAAACUUACAACUUUGAUCUGUUUUUCCUUAAUCCAAUCCACAAAAACAUUAGAACCAUCUUUCUCCAUCGAACCCACAAACCCAUCAAUACAAUCCUUUCGCCUAAGAGUGGCACAAUUCUCACUUUCAAGCCAUUUCAGAGCUGAUUCAUUAUUAUCAAAAGAAGAAAGAAAUCAAGACACUAUCUUCACUGGUUAUAAAAUCAAACAAAGACAUUAACAGAGCUACAAUACCAGGAACAAGUUCAGCUUCUUCAGUUCCUAUAAUACAAUGAGGAGGAUAAGGUAUCUCCGGAAUAUCCGGAUGAUGAGAGUCAAUAAAGGCCAAAACCGGCCAUUUCCGAUCACAGAACUCUCUAGCAAGCUUUGCACUUUCCUCCACCAUCUUCGAUAUUUGUUCAUUAUGCUUUGUUGGAGCCUGCAAAAUCACAAGUCAAACAACUUCACUUAGGCAAUAUCACAAACACUUGGAAGACAUUAAGAAACAAAAACAAACAAAGUCGCAAUUUUUGCGAGAAAUUAUAUCAAUUCGUUAAAAAAAAACGUUUGAAUGAAGCAAUAUCACAAACACUUGGAAGACAUAAAGAAAAAUAAUCAACCAAAGUUCCAAUUUUUUUCGAGAAAUUGAACCAAACCAUAUUGCCGGAGCCAAUUGUGCAGAAGCCAUUAACAACGUCAACGAUGACGAGACCAACGCUCGAGUCUCGAUUCAAAUUGAGAGAUUCUUCUUCAUCCACUGGUAUCUGCUUCUUUAGCUGAUCGAAUAUCGUUUCAUGAUUCGCCAUAUCGAUACGAGAUUUGAAGAAAUUGAGAAAACUGGAUCAAAAUUUUCUAAGUAGAGGAGAAAUGCGAAGCAAGUUCUGGUCAUGUUACAAUUUUCAGAAAUCUAAAGUUUUGUUUUAAUAAUUCAAAAAAUGACAUUGUCAACAACUGGGGGUGUAGCUCAUAUGGUAGAGCGCUCGCUUCGCAUGCGAGAGGCACGGGGUUCGAUUCCCCGCACCUCCACUUUUUUAAAUUCUUUCUUUAUAGUAUUUGUUUCUCUUGUUCGUUCAGACGACAGCAGAUUAUGGGCUAACAAAACUAUCCCGUAAAAUGAAAACAGUUCCCCCAGUCACACGUGAAGCCCUUCCAGUGUUUUUUUUUUUUUUUAAUGCUUUUAUAACUCAAACUUUGUUUUUUAUCCAUCAAAAAUGAACCUUUAUGUUUUUGGAAAUUUUCUCGUUUUUAUGCAGAACUGAUCAUAAAUAUACGGAAUGAAAAAUGGCAUAAUGAAAUUACUUUUUAAAAAAAUAUGUUGAUUAAUAUAUACAUAUAUUUAAUAAACAAAAUAAUGUUUUUACUAAUUUUUAAGUAAUAAUUGAUAAUAAAAAUAUAUAAAUAAAAAUAUAUAAAUAUUAAAAACUUAAAUAUCAUAAAAAUAGUAUAAGUUUAUUGUAAAUACCUUUCUGAUUGCUAAAUAUUUUGUAUGUAUAAAAUAAUAAAAAUCCUUUAUGCAAAUAAACAACUAUAUAUACUCAACUUAUUUGUAUAAUGAGAUUUUACUUUUAUUUUUUAGGCGAAAACACAAAUUCUGCGUUUUUGUGUGUUUCUAAUGCUAUUGGCAAACUUUGUUGCAUAAUAACAUUAAAAAACGUUAUUCCGCCCAAUUACCAAUAGAAGCCUGUAUCUGUAUAAUGAUAACUCAAGAUUUACCAUACGUCUUACCAACCUAAGGGGGUGUUAUUCAAUGGUGGAGUUAAAGUCAAUUCUUUAAGGUUUAGAUUUGUUUUCUGAUAUUGGUUUUAAGAAUCUGUUUGUGUGGAUUUCAAAAUCUCUGCAGUAUAUCUUGGAUUUUGAUUCUAAUAAUUUACUCAUAAAACUCCAAAGAGGUUUUAUUUGAAAUGACUUAAUAUACAAAAAUUUUACAAGUCUUUUAGUUUUGAAUAACACUGGAUUUUACAAAUCUGAAAGAAUUGAUUUUAACUCCACCAUUGAAUAACACCAAAUUUUUAAAAUCUAAUGAAGUAUAAGAUCUAAUAACACCAGAUUUUAACGUUAGAUUUAUAAUCAUUAGUUGAAUAACACUGGAUUAGUGUUGGAUUUCAAUUCUAUUAAAAUCCAUGAAUAACACCACCUAAAUUAAUCUCACCCGUUCAUUUGUAGACUCACCUACAACAUCUGCUUCCACAAUCACAUGAAAUAAAAAAACUGUACUUUUAUCGUAUGAUAUUAUAAAUAACCACGUCCCCACUGAGAUUUCGUAAAUAUCUUUCUGCUUGCCUAUAAAUGAAUAUAGUCAAAAGUUACAUAUUAUCAGAGUGACAAUGACAAACUUCAAAUACAACAAUGGAGAUGAAACAAAGCUCCACGUGGUAAUGUCUCCAUGGUUAGCCUUUGGUCAUAUGGUUCCAUAUUUGGAGCUCUCUAAGCUCAUAGCUCAAAAGGGUCACAGUCUCUUUCAUGUCUACUCAGGGCCGGCUCAGACCUAAAGCCCAUCAAACAUGUGCUUUAAGCAUCAUAUUAUAUUUUAGUUUUUAAGGGGCAUUAAAUUUCAGAAAAGAUCUUGUAGUACAGUGGUUAAUGUCUCAUUUAUUGCUGGAAUUGACGAGUUUGAGUGACAUUAAGACGAAUUUUUAACAUUUUUUUUGUAUUUUUGUUGGUUAAUGAGUAACAAAAACAUUUUGGGCUUUAGGCAUCCAAAUCCUUUGGGCCGGCCCUGUCCACUCCACGUAACAUCGAUCGUCUCCUCCCACGGUUGCCGGAAAAUCUCUCCUCCAUCAUUAACUUCGUCAAGCUCCCACUUCCCGUCGGCGACAAUAAACUCCCGGAAGACGGUGAAGCUACCACCGACGUGCCUUUCGAACUCAUACCUUACUUAAAAAUCGCUUUCAACGGGUUAAAAGUUCCGGUGACGGAGUUUCUUGAAUCUUCGAAACCCGAUUGGGUUCUUCAAGAUUUCGCGGCGUUUUGGCUUCCUCCAAUCUCUCGUCGUCUCGGAAUCAAAACCGGAUUCUUUAGCGCUUUCAACGGCGCGACGCUCGGGAUUCUUAAACCGCCGGGAUUCGAAGAGUACCGUACUUCUCCCGUUCUCCGGCGGAUUUUAUGAAGCCGCCUAAGUGGGUCCCGUUCGAAACUCCGGUAGCUUUCAAGUUAUUCGAAUGCCGGUACAUAUUCAGAGGAUUCAUGGCGGAAACCACCGAAGGGAAUAUUUCCGACAUCCACCGUGCCGGCGGCGUAAUUGACGGCUGUGACGUCAUCUUCGUACGAGUAUGAAGCAGAGUGGUUAGGACUUAUGCAAGAUCUUCACCGGAAACCGGUUAUACCGGUGGGAGUUUUACCUCCAAAACCGGAAGAAAAGUUUGAAGAUACCGACACGUGGCUGACUGUUAAAAAGUGGUUGGACUUACGGAAAAGUAAGUCCGUUGUUUACGUAGCUUUUGGUUCAGAAGCUAAACCGAGUCAAACGGAGCUGAAUGAGAUCGCUCUUGGUUUAGAGCUUUCCGGUUUACCUUUCUUCUGGGUGUUAAAGAAUCGGCGUGGUCCGUGGGAUACCGAACCGGUUGAGCUUCUAGAAGGAUUCGAGGAGCGUACAGCGGAUAGAGGUAUGGUGUGGAGAGGUUGGGUUGAGCAAUUGAGAACAUUGAGCCAUGACUCGAUCGGUUUGGUUCUAACUCAUCCCGGUUGGGGAACGAUAAUUGAAGCUGUCCGGUUUGCUAAACCGAUGGCAAUGCUGGUUUUUGUGUACGACCAAGGAUUAAAUGCGAGAGUAAUCGAAGAGAAGAAAAUUGGUUAUAUGAUCCCUCGGGAUGAAACAGAAGGUUUCUUUACUAAAGAAAGUGUUGCGAAAUCACUAAGAUUGGUAAUGGAGGAAGACGAAGGAGAGGUUUAUAGAGAGAAUGUGAAGGAGAUGAAAGGAGUGUUUGGAGACAUGGAUAGACAAGAUCAUUAUGUGGAUUCAUUCUUGGAUUAUCUUGUUGCUAAUCGUUAAGUUUGAGCAUGGAGUCUUGAUCCAAUGGCGGGUUAAUUGAAUGAACUUGUGAUACUUAUAAUAAUGGAAUUUGAUCAAGUGUUGCAACGAUGAUCAAUGUAUAAUAUUAUGAUGUUUUGGAAUGGUCAAGUUUUUUUUAGUACAAAAAAAGUUUAACGUCUCAUGUGUUGCACAUUUUUUAUAGUAACAAUUCAUCUUCUUGUAUUAGCAAGAACAUCGAGCAAAAUUGUGAAACCAAUCUAAGGCCUAAACAAAAUGGUCGGACCGAAACUAAGAAACCGAACCAAAUAUAAGACAAAGAAUGGUCUUUGUGAUUAGGAGCACUAUCUUCAAUUUUCUAUUUUUUCCUUGUUUGUAGAAUCCAUAAUUCUAAGUUUCUAACUUCUUGUAAUGUUUUCCUAUUUAAGAGAAGAAAACCCAGAGAGCAACGGUAAAUUAUGUUUGUAUGUUAAACCAUGUGUUUUAAAUUUUCUAAGCUUGUUAUUGAAACCAUAUUCGUGGUAUCAGAACUUCCAUUUUGAUUUUGAUAUGGAGCAUAAUUUGUGCUAUCAAAACCGCACAAAAAAAACAAAAAAGACCACCUUGUGUAGUAAUUCGUCUUUUUAUUUUGGCUUUAAUCCGAGUCAUGAAUUGUGGUAUCAAAUAAUCUAUACAAAAGAGGAAGAAAACUUUGUUCAUCCUCAAUUGCGUCUCCACAUUCAAAUUUUUCUUCUCCAAAACUUUGAUUCAGUUGGAACGAAUAAGUCACUUGGAAGAACAUGUUCUUGUUGUGUUGUGGAAAAGAUUUUUAGGAUUUUCAGCGAACAUUGAGGACAAGGUACUUUAGAAGACGAACAUAUUGGUGCAAAUACAGGAUCAACAAACAACCACAAGAUGGAUGGAUCGACUAAUAAACGGAACAAAGAAUAUUCAAUUAAGGGGGUGAUUGGAAGGCUUUAAAAGUUUUUAACUUUUUUCUGUAAGGUUUUUAAAGUUUAAUUUUUACCAAUCACACUUUAAUUAUUUAAAAGUUUCCUAAUUUUUCUCACAGUCCAUUUUAUUCCUUCAUUUUUAAAGCCUCAUAAACCUCACUUUAGAAAUCUAAAAAAUAAAAGCUAACAGUUUUUUUUCUCAUUUUUUCUUUCCCAAAUGUAUAAACUUCUCAUAAAAAAAAAAAUUGAACUUGAUGUCAUGAUGAUGAAUUUUGAUAAACAUGCAAUAUUCAUACAUAAAUUUGUGGUUAUGUCAUCGUUUGGAUUUUUGUUUUGAUUUAUUUACGGCAAAAUAAAUUUAUUCAUUCAAAUUCGAAACAGACGAGUUUUUUUAAUAGAAAACCAGUCCAAAAUAGAAGAGCUUACAUGGAAAAAUAUAGAACCACGUGAUCGUACAUAUUUUGCAAUGCAGUCAGCACAUAUGUUGUUACAACAUAGAAUACAUGAUAAAGUAAAAGAGGGAAAAAAGAGUUUCAUAGUUUGGAUUUAAAUCCGGUAUAAUUUAUAUUGUUUAAAGUUAUAAUUUUUAUAGUCACAAUUUUUACUAAUCAGUUUUAAUAUUUUUAAAAUUAAAGUCUAACAAAAGUUACUACAGUUAGUCUCUCUAGCCUAAUGUAAUCUUUGACUUUUAGUUAAUCAUUGAUAAUAAAGAGUGAUCUUCUUUGUGCUUACUGUUUAGGAGGACAAUGUCUACUUUCCUUUGUUUGUAAGGAAUUCAUGAUUCCCACUUUAUGUACCAUGUUUCUAUUUUAGAAAGAAAAAAAAAAUGUUGAAGUAUAAAGACAUAUUAUUGUAAUCUUUCUAAGAUCGUGAUCUGGACCGCAUCAAUUAAAAACGAAUAUUGAGGAUUUUUCUAGCUAAUGCAACUGCGAGAGAGUUCUACAAACGAGGAACUAAAGUUUAUUAAUAUAUAUAAAAAAAAAAAAAAAAGAGAAGGAAAACCAUAACUCAAAUUUUGGAAAAUGGUUAUUCAAAGAAAACAUCAAAUUGAAUUUGAAUGAGUUCAAGUUACUAGGUUAAAUCUUUUAUUGUUGAUUAUAUUUAUAUUGGACUAAUUACGUUGGAAAAACUUAAAAGUUGAUAAGUUCUCAGGCAAUCAUCCGUUGAUACAUACUAUGGUUUUUAUAUGGUUUCAACUUUUAUAAAACCAAAAAACAGUAAUACCGUAAAAAUAGAACUGCAACCAAACCAAAUUACAUAUUGUUUUUAUAUGGUUUCAGUUUUAUUAGGAAUGUGGUCUAACUUAACCCAAAAGUUAGCUCAAGAGUUAAGGAUUGUCACAUCCUUUAUAUACUUCCCAAAGACCUUAAUCCCAAGCAAUGUGGGAGAUUCUAAUAGGCCUUCUCGAGAUGUGGGUGGGAAACGGUCCAACGGAAAACAGCCCAAGCCCAACAUCUCGGAAAUACAACAAGACAUGCCACUUAUAUGGGCCACAUAGGUAGGAAACCAUUUUUGUGGGAAUUUGCUUGUUGGGCCAACCUUGGGCUCUGAUACCAUAUUAGGAAUGUGGCCUAAGUUAACCCAAAAGCUAGCUCAAGAGUUAAGGAUUGUCACAUCCUUUAUAUACUUUCCAAAGAUCUUAAUCCCAAGCAAUGUGAGAGAUUCUAAUAAGUUUCUAUAAAACCGUAAAAUUAAAAAAAAAAAACGAACCAAACUAAACCGAAAAACCAAACGCCCCACCCCUAAACAGUAAACACCACACUUGCAACAGAUACAAAUGUUUUGACUUUAAAACUUUACGUCAGUCAUACCUUUUAAAACUUUUAAAAGGAACUAGACAAAAAUGGGAGAGAUAUUUGUCGGUUGCGACAUACCACGUAACUUUUAAAAACAUUUUAAAGUCUUAAAAUCCUCAUCCAAUCACCCCUUUGACAAAAAUUUAGCGUUUGCGUUUUGAAACGCUGAACGUAAUCGCCCGAGUGAACGUUUGACAAAAUCGAAACUUAAGAUUGUCAAUUUCCUUCACCCAUUAUUAACCUUUCCUUUUCUACAAUCAUACUGAUAUAAAAUCUCUGCGAAAAUCGUGGUGAUUUCAGAGAUUCUCGCGUCCUAAGUAAAAUCAAAUCGUGGUUUUACCCUUUUUAACUCUCUCUAUAAAUCAAAAACUGAUCUUUUAGCGUUUUAAAAAAAUAAAAAAACAGAUCUUUAGCGUUUUCUCGUUCCCGCUAACUUCACCGUGACUUCAACGAAGAGUCGUUUCACUAAAUUGCGCCGCCAUGAGCAACCGCCGUGGAGUAACAACCGCCGUGUCGAAACGGCGUCCGGUGAUUCACGUGUUACCAGACGAAACAGCGAUACGAGUAGUCUGCCACGCGUCAGUAAUCGGCGGUAUCAUCGGUUCAAAUGGUUACGUUGUUUCCAAACUCCGUCGUGAAACCGGUACAAAAAUCCAUUGCGAGUCUCCGGUUAACGGCUCCGAUCACUGGGUUGUCUUCAUCGUUGGUUCAACCGCUGUUAACAAAAGUGUUCUAUUGACUGAUAGAGUCGGAGAUUUCUCCGGCGGUGAACACGAAGAUUGGGUGACUUGUGAUGUUUCCGCAGCUCAGACGGCGUUGAUUAGGGUUUUGGAGAGAUCAUGGGUUGUUUUAGCGGCGAAGGAUGGCGGCGGAGUUGUUGAUGGUGAGGAUGAAGAAGCUUAUUGUGGGAUUUUGGCUGAUCGGAAUCAGAUUGGUGCUGUUUUGGGUUUGGGUGGGAAGAAUGUGGAGUGGAUGCGGAGAAGUUCUGGUGCCAUGAUUAGGGUUUUGCCUCCUCCGAUUUGCGGCACUAACACUGAUGAACUCAUUCAGGUUAGGGUAAAACUAAAACUUUAAAGUCUUUAGCUUUUUGAAAAAUUCUGGGUUUAGUGUUGAAGAAGUAGAAGCAGUAACAUUGUGGUGAUGUAUGUAAAAAUCGAAAAAGUUGAUAAAUUUGUUUCUUUUUUUGGUUUUUGAUUUGUGAAUGUCACUUCUUUGUGUGUAUUAGAUUACUGGCGAUGUCUUGGCUGUGAAGAAGGCACUAGUUAUGGUAUCGACUUGUAUUCAAGAUAAUCCACCUGUCAACGGGUAUCCACAGCCGCUUUGCAUCAAAGCUUACGAGUCAUCUACUGAUGGGAACUCAGAGGAUCCACAUUCUGAGUUUUUUCCAAACCUGCGUUCUUCGGUGCCUAAUGCUUCAGAUUCUGCUUCGUCGAAUAGACAUUUACCAGCGGUGUAUGAUGAAGGAAAUGGUACAGAACGAAAAGUUGUGUUCAAGAUAAUCUUCACAAGUGUUGUAGCUGGAGGCAUUAUUGGGAAACAAGGAACAAUUAUCAGAGCUCUGCAGAAUGAAACAGGUGCUUCUAUUUCGAUUGGAGCUCCAUUGAAAGUAUCCGGUGAGCGAGUUGUUACUAUUUCUGCACGUGAGGUAUAGGUUUCUAUUCUCAUGCUUGCUGCUAUAUGUUUAUCCGAGUUUCUUUGUUGACAUAAUCACAUUCGCUUUGUUUUUUUUCUUAGAACCUCGAGUCACGGUACUCUCAUGCACAAAAUGCUCUGGCUCUUGUCUUUGCAAGAUCUGUUGAGAUUGAUGUUGAGAAAGGUCUGCGUCCGGGAUUGCACAAUGGUGCUGUAGUGAAAACUAAGCUAUUGGUACCAUCGCAAUUUGCUAAUAGCUUAGUUGGAAACGGAAACAGAGAAGCAAUCAUAGCAACCGGUGCUGAUGUACACAUUCCAGUAGACAACCAGAUUUUAGAAUGGAUCUCAGAAAAUGAAGUGGUGAUUGAGGUAACUGCGUGUUAACUUGUAAUCAGUGUAUGCUUUUUCCCUUAGAGAUGAGAACAUUGCACAAUUAACCGAGAUUUGCUCCUUUUGAUUCGCUUAUUGUUUUCAGAUUAAGGGAGAGUAUGGUCAUGUACAGAAGGCCUUGACUCAUGUUUCAUCCAAAUUACGGGAAAACCUAUUGCCAAAGAAGGUCCUCGGAGAAAUGAGAGCUAGAGUUAGUAAUCCAUAUGAAAGUGCAGGAACAAGCCAGAUUUAUAAUCUGAAACAAUCACAACAAGUAAGUGUGUUUCUUUCCCCCAAGCUAGAGUUUAGUUGCUUCCAUCUAAUCUUUAUUCAACAAAACCGCAGAACUCAAGCAGAGGUGAUUCUCUCUCGGUAUCAGAUGGUGAACAAAACUUUAAGAUGGUCAGAAGCGGUGCAGAAGUAAUGAAAUUGAAUUCUGUAAUGCACACCGAGGUCCUUAAAGAGGUGGAUGAACUCAAAGGCUUUACACUUCCACAAAGUUUGCUGGAGGAUGACUUGACACAGGAAAUGAAACAGCUUCAGAUGUCUAGGAAUGGAGACGUCUCUUCUUUACCACAACGGUCUGUUCUUGCCAAACAACAACGGUUCCAUGUUGUUAACAAUCAUUCUCGAUGAAUAUUACAACAGAGUUGGUUUUUGUUUUGAAGCAGAGGUAAAGGUGUAUAUGUGAGAAAAAUCACAUUGGAGUUAACCGUCGAGAAAGAUGCUCUUGGUUCACUCUAUGGCAGAGAUGGCACCGGUGUGGAUAAUCUACGACAGGUACAUAAAUCAGACCUUCUUGCAAUAUAUCCCAUAAGAUGCUAGACAAUGAAGUUGAUUGAGAGUUCUUGCAAACUUACAGAUUUCAGGAGCCGGAGUGGAUGUGAAGGAUCCUACAGGAAUUGAAGCGACGGUCUUAAUAAUCUCCGGGAAUCCUGAGCAAACCCGCACAGCGAUGUCUUUGAUCGAGUCAAUCCUUGAUGAUCAAUGAUUGUGUGUAUGCAACUACUUUUGGUUUGUUUCGUUUUGUCUAUUCCCAAAACUCCAGCCUUAUUUUUUGUGACUGGUUUUUGAAAACUAGCAUUUGUUGCUCGUUAGAAUCUAAUGCAGUGUUGUUAUCUUAGAAGAAUACAACAUUUUGCCGGUUUACCAAUGCCGGUUCACGAUUCAUUUUGUCGGUUUACCAAUACCGCAAUACAACAACAGCCAAGAAAAUUUUAAAAUCAUACCAAUACCGGGUUACGUUUCAUUUUACCGGUCUGAUGUGUUCGGUUUGGUUAAAAGUUAAUAUGGACUAUGGGCCCAAUACAAAAAAGUGAAGGCCCAUGUAAACUUUACGGGGAACGGUAACACAAAUAAUCUUAACGGUCGUCUUCGGAGAUUUCAAAAUUUAAACACAAAACGCAGAAAAGGAAAAUCAAAUAAUUCCUCCGGUCACGCCUUUCUCUUAUCUCUCUCUCUCUCUCUCUCUCUCUCUCUCUCUCUCUCUCUCUCUCUCUCUCUCUCUCUCUCUCUCUCUUUUAUCUUUCUCUGCAUAUCAUAAGCUUUUCAAUUUAUUCAUCUACGAAACGAUUUGCUUUUGGGAUUUGGAGAAGUUUCAUAAUGGAAGAUGUUCAGAUCGAUGCUACUGUUCCGGUGGAUCCAAAUGUCACGUCACUUUGUUCACCGAAGAUUCCUAAUUUCGAAUUUAUUAGUGAUGAAACAGAGAAAUUAGAGAUCGGAGAUACUUCCAUUGAUGACUGUGAUGAUUCUUUGGGCGAUUCCAUGGUGUGUGAUCCGAAUUCAAGAUUGGUUCCCACUGGCUUCACAAGACCUAAUCACACAGGUUCAAUUCUCUCACUUUCGAUUUCAAUUUUACAAAAUCGAGUUUGAUCUUGGGUUUUGGAUCUGAUUCUUUUACCCGAUUACUUAGUGUUAAACCCUAGGGUUUCAAUGAGAGUUAUGCAUUGAGGGAUUGAUUUUUGUUAUUGGUGUUAGCAGAUGAGACAAUUAUGUUCAUAAAUGCUGGAGGAGAUGAUUCAAAGGUAUUAGAUUCUGAAUUGAAUAUCCUCAGAGACACCUAUUUCGAAGGAGGGGAUGUGCUUAGAACAGAAGAGUCUAUAGUUGAAGCUGGAGACUUUCCGUUCAUUUAUCAGUCAGCACGUGUUGGGAACUUUUGUUACCGGUUAAACAAUCUUCUUCCUGGAGAGUACUUGAUCGAUUUCCAUUUCGCGGAGAUUAUUAAUACCAAUGGACCUAAAGGGAUAAGGGUUUUCAAUGUCUAUGUUCAGGAUGAGAAGGCAAGUAGAACAACUGAAGAUGGUGUUUUUUUUUUUCAUGUAGUUAUGAAUAUGAGAUUUGUGUAAAUGCUGAAAGAAGUGUUUUUGUUAUGUUUCAGGUGUUAGCUGAGUUUGAUAUAUUCUCUGUUGUUGGCGCAAAUAGGCCACUCCUGUUGGUUGACUUAAGGGUCAUGGUAAUGGAUGAUGGAUUGAUUAGGGUAAGGUUUGAAGGAAUAAAUGGAAGUCCAGUGGUUUGUGGGAUUUUUCUGAGGAAAGCGCCACAGGUUUCAGGUAAUGGCUCUUCUCUUGUGCUUGCUUUUAACUUGUUUAGGGAAUCUUCAAAGUUUUCAGUUUCCAACUCAUUCGUUGCAUUACUUUACAGUUCCAAGGACAUCACAAGAUUAUAUUAAGUGUGAGAAUUGUGCUACCGAAAUAGAGAUUUCUCCUACUCGGGUACUGUUUAACUAGUUUUGCUGGUUCGUAUUCCUAAAAAUAUAAGUGUUAUGGAUUACCUGAGCUUCUUCUUUAUUUAUGUUGAUAUUUGAGCAGAAAAGACUUAUGCGAGCCAAAGCUCAUGACAAGUAUGAGAAGAAGAUAGCAGAGCUUUCUGAACGAUACGAACAUAAGACAAAUGAAUGCCACGAAGCAUGGAUGUCAUUGACCUCUGCCAAUGAGCAACUAGAGAAAGUGAUGAUGGAACUCGACAAUAAGAUGUACCAGGCACGCUCUCUAGGUAAUGAACUUGUCAUUAUAUCACAUGUGGGUGAAAGUGGGAAAAAUUCCCAUCAAUGUCAAUGUCAAUCCAAAUUUGUUACUAUUAUGUCUUUUUUUGACGGAGGUUUUCUUACUUGAUUCGGUGCUUACUUGAAACAGACCAAACUGUGGUAACACAAGCUGAUUGUUUGAAGAGUAUCACUAGCAAGUAUGAGAAUGACAAGAGACAUUGGGCCACAGCACUUGAUACUCUGCAGGAGAAAAUAGAGGUAGCUGUGUAUUUCCUCAAGUACUGUUGUAUCCAGUAUAUAUGUUUUUGAAAGAUUUCUUUUUGGAACUUAUGAAACUGUUGCUGUGCAGAUAAUGAAAAGGGAACAAUCUCAGCUAUCACAAGAAGCACAUGAAUGCGUGGAAGGGAUCCCCGAAUUGUAUAAAAUGGUUGAUGGAGUUCAGGCACUAGGUGAGUUUAUUACCUCCACUCAUUUGGUCUGAAGAUGGGAUUUAAAAGGGAAAUUUGAUGAACUAAUACAAUAUCAACUCGUAAAAACAGUUUCACAGUGCGAAGAUCUCAAGCAGAAGUACAGUGAAGAGCAAGCAAAGCGAAAGGAGCUGUACAACCAUAUACAAGAGACUAAAGGCAAUGAAUCUUAUUUAGAUUAUUGAUUUGCUUUAGCUUCUUUACAUCAUACUUUAAUAAUUUACUGAUAGCAUGCAUCCUUAUAUCAGGCAAUAUUAGGGUCUUUUGUCGCUGCCGCCCUUUGAAUAAGGAGGAGACAUCAACUAAGUCUGCCACAAUUGUUGACUUUGAUGGAGCAAAAGAUGGAGAGCUUGGUGUUAUUACAGGAAAUAAUUCCAAGAAAAGUUUCAAGUUUGACAGAGUUUAUACACCGAAAGAUGGUCAAGGUAGUGUGAUAUGUCAUGGUCAAGUUAGAUCAUUAAGUAUAAAUAACACUAAUAAUUAACAAAGUUUCUAUCUUUAUUCCGCAGUUGAUGUUUUUGCCGAUGCUUCUCCUAUGGUUGUUUCAGUCCUAGACGGCUACAAUGUUUGUAUUUUUGCCUACGGACAAACAGGAACAGGAAAGACGUUUACAAUGGAAGGUACUCCACAGAACAGGGGUGUUAACUAUAGAACCGUCGAGCAAUUGUUUGAAGUUGCUAGAGAAAGGAGAGAGACAAUUUCAUAUAACAUAUCGGUUAGUGUCCUUGAGGUCUACAAUGAACAGAUAAGAGACUUGUUGGCAACAUCACCAGGGUCAAAGAAGUAAGAAUUCUCUACCUAAUUAAAUCGUAAACAAAUAGGGAUUGAAACAGAAGUUUAUCUUAAUUCUUUUUGGAUUUUGCUACCAAGGUUGGAGAUAAAACAAUCCUCUGAUGGCUCUCAUCACGUUCCUGGAUUAGUAGAAGCAAAAGUGGAUAAUAUAAAUGAAGUCUGGAAUGUGCUUCAGACUGGGAGCAAUGCAAGAUCAGUUGGAUCAAAUAAUGUGAACGAGCAUAGCAGCCGCUCUCACUGGUACCAUAUAUGCCUCUCUUGCUAUCUUGUUUGCUUAUUUCACAUUUUGUGUCACAUUAUGAGGGUUGUUUAAUAUUGUUAAUCCUUGCAGCAUGCUCUCUAUAAUGGUAAAAGCAAAGAACCUAAUGAAUGGUGAUUGCACAAAAAGCAAGCUUUGGCUUGUAGAUUUAGCUGGAAGUGAGAGAUUGGCAAAGACAGAUGUGCAAGGUGAGCGUCUGAAGGAAGCUCAGAACAUCAAUAGGUCACUUUCAGCUCUCGGGGAUGUAAUAUAUGCAUUGGCUACAAAGAGUAGUCAUAUUCCAUACAGGUUCGUUUAAACUUGCAUAAUUAUUAACACUUUAUACCUUGACUGCUUUAACACUUUCCAAUUAUUAACUUCAGGAACUCAAAAUUAACACAUUUGCUUCAAGAUUCACUGGGUAAGAAACUUCAUGACCUUUGUUUAAAUAUCAAUCCGUGAUUACACUGUGCUUCUUCUGGUAAUCUAGUGUGUAUGUGAAAAUGAUGCAGGAGGUGACUCAAAGACUCUGAUGUUUGUGCAAAUCAGUCCCUCUGAGCAUGAUGUAAGUGAGACUCUAAGUUCACUUAACUUUGCAACUCGUGUAAGAGGGGUUGAAUUGGGUCCUGCGAGGAAGCAAGUUGAUACCGGUGAGAUCCAGAAGUUGAAAGCAAUGGUAUGACUUCUGCAAGUUUUUUCUUAUUCUUCCUGGAUUUGUCUUUUUAGAUUGUGUAACAGAUUUUCCUUAAUUGUUUCUUGUAUAACUUUUAAAGGUGGAGAAAGCAAGGCAUGAAAGCCGAUCUAAAGAUGAAUCCAUAAAGAAACUGGAGGAGAACAUACAGAACCUGGAAGGUAAGAACAAAGGCAGAGACCACUCAUACAGAAGUCUCCAGGAAAAGAACAAAGAACUCGAAAGCCAACUUGAUUCACUCCAUAACCAAUCAGAAAAACAAAACGCACAGCUCCAAGAAAGACUAAAGAGCAGAGAUGAGAUUUGUAGCAAUCUCCAACAUAAGGUUCCUUCUCUUUUUUUCAUUUCUGCUUAACAUUUCAUCGAUCACCAUUUCAUGGCUAACAUAAUUUAUUUUUCCCAUUAAAGGUCAAGGAGCUAGAGUGCAAGCUACGGGAGAGACACCAAUCAGAUUCUGCAGCUUACCACCAGAAGGUAUCUUUAGUUCAAUACUGUUACAUAAAUCUCAUAAUGUUUUGUUGAGGAAUACCAAACUUGUUAAAAUGAUGCCUGCAGGUUAAGGAUCUUGAGAAUAACUUGAAAGAAUCUGAAGGAAACUCCCUUGUGUGGCAACAGAAGGUUAAGGAUUAUGAGAAUAAGUUGAAAGAGUCUGAAGGCAACUCUCUUGUGUGGCAACAGAAGGUUAGGAGAACGACAGAUCCAUUUAUCAAACUUUUCAUUUGCAAAAUAUCACCAUCUCGAUCUUCUAUUCGAUAUUGUGUCCCAGAUUAAAGAGUUGGAGACAAAACACAAAGACGAGCAAAGCCAAGAAGCAGUGAUACUACGACAGAAGGUUAGUUUCAUGGAUUGGCUCAGGAUUUUCGAGCUUCUGAAUUCCCGGUAUCAAAAAUUGUUUGUUAUUUCGCAGAUUAAAGAACUUGAGAUGAGGCUAAAGGAGCAAGAGAAGCAUAUACAACAAAUGGCAACAACUAGAGAAUUUCCCGAUGUUGCGAAUGCUACUCCUAACGAAGUGAAAACUUGCUUCAAAGAAGAUAACUUUGGCAAUGAGAAUAUGGAAUCCAACAACAACAUCCUGAGAACAUCAAACCGUCUCAAGACUAAAAGACACGAUUCACUAAAUCUCAAUGAGAUGACUAGAAAGAAGAGAGCCUCGAGAAGCGGCGAAACAGAGAACAAUGGUGAUGAUCCUCAAAUGAAGGAGAAAAGGAUCAGGAAAUCAGACCCACCAAAAGUUAUCUCCAGAGUAGUCAGACCAACAAGACCAGCUUCUGGUUCAUCAAGCCAAGUCCCUGUGGCUCAUAAGAGAGUUAUUAAAAGAGAACAACAAGAAGUUCUGGUCGGGAAAGAGAGAGACUCCAAGAAGAAGAUUUGGUCAAGAUAAAUAAUAUCACUCAAUAGCAUAGAGAAACUCUUAAUCUCUUGUGUUUCUCUAUAUGAUUUUCUCUGUAUGAAAUUGAAUAUUAAUACUUUCAUACACUUUUCAAAGCCAUGAUCACAUUGUUAUUUCAAUCUUCAUAUAUAAACAUUAAUACAUAUUUGGUCUUAUUAUAUUCAUUCACCAUCAUAUUACAUCCAAAUAAAUAAAUUUAAACCUCCUUCUACACUAAAUUAUUUUAACUCUUAUCCAAUUUAUUUUUUCAAGUUCUAAAAGGACUUUCAAGACGAAUAUAAUCAUACAUAACACCUUGAAACAUUCCUAUACUUCUCGUUUGAGUUAAAUAUAUUGUAUUAUCACCAACACUUAGUAGAUUUCCAGCAAUGUCGAUACUAUACAAUCUAUAUAACCCAUGAAUUCCAUGUCUCGCGAUCGCAUUGUCCUUUCCGAUCAAACCGGUUGUGAAAAUAUGACCGGAUUUCGGAUCGUUGAUUCGAAUUUGUAGUUCGGAACUAGCGGCUGAUGCUAGAGCUAGUCGGAGUGUGUAGAGUCCGAUCCGGUUCACGUUUUUUAGGUUGAAUAUGAUUUGCCAUGUCGUUGGUUGGUAUGUAUCGUUACCAAAGUUUCUAUUGGAUUAAACGUUAAGAUAGUUAUAUAUAAUUUGAAUAGAAGCAUCAAAAAUAAGGAAUUAAAUACUUAUGUAGUACUAGUAUGUAUUUACCUCGUGACAUGUGCAAAGAACCAAUCUCUUCUAUAAUCACUUACACCGAUUGUGUAGACAAGAUCGUUUUGAGGGUAUAAAUCUGCGUAACGAUCCCAUAAUCCAUAUUGCCUAAAUCUGCAAUCAUUUAAAUUUAGUGCCUAUACUAGGAGUUUUGAAUUGGGUCAACAUGAAAAAACAAAAACAAAAAACGUAACAAACAAAUCAACCCAAUUAAAAUUCAGAACUCUUAAUUACUUAUACGUAGAUCUAUUAAAAACAGUUUUACAUGAGAAGAUAAUAGUACAAACCUGUCUUGAAGUGGGUUAACAUAAAGCUUAUUCAUCAGUGUAGGAUAAGGAUCCGGUAUAUAGAAUUCACCCGCGGUUCGAUCCGGUACACCGAUUUCCCACAAUGUUGGACCGUUUCUCGGCGGUUCAUACACUAUAGGCCCUACAUUCAUCUCGCUACCUGCACACCCCAAAAUAAAUAUUAACGCAGACAAAUAAUCGGGAUUUGAUCAACUGGUUCUCUAAUCAUAUGAGCUAAGUGGGUCUAAAAUGGACCUAAACAUACAUAAGUCAAAACUGAAGCCAAACCUAAUACAUUGAUUCAAUGUCACUUAUAUGUCAAUGUCCAAAUUAUCGUAAUAUUUUUCAAGAAAAUAAAUAAAUUGAAUACAUAUGAUCAAGCAUGCUUCUCUAGCUAUGAUCAAAAUGUGCUUAUAAUGGAUAAUUAUACGUAGUGUAUGUGUGUAAAUAUAUACCUGGCGUGAUGAUAAUGUUUUGCUCAUACUUAUAGUCUCCAAUAAAACCAAUACCCCAUGCGUAGAGACUAUAAUUGCCUGCCCUCACAUUCUCUAUUAUGAAUCUCCCUUUUCUGUCAGCUUUCGUCCAAAAUUGAUACCCCUUUUUUUCCCAAAAAUAAAAUUAAAACACACUUAUAACAAUUAAUUACAAUAAAAAGAAUCAUUUAUAUACAUUUGUAUGAAGUACUGUAUGAGUUGUUUUAUUAUCAUACCUUGGAUUCGGUUUGCCAUGAACCGGCUUCACCAAUUGGUGCCAAACCAACAAACGCAAAUUUUCCAUAUAUCUUUAACCUUGACACGUAACUACAACAUUAUAUAGUCCAAAACAAAAUAAGAUUACAAUCUAGAAGAACGUAAAUAUGUAAAAAUUAUAUUUGACAAAAAAAUAAGGGAUGUUUAUUUACCUGUCUUUGAUUAAGAAUUGACCUUCGAUAGUUCCUCUUUGAUGACGAAGAGGAUAAUCUUCUGAAGUUACAAAAUCAUAAGGCCAGCUUUUGACUUCUGCAGCCAUCUGUGACAAAUUAGUAAUUCACCAUUUUAUAUUAGUGUCAAUCUAAGUUUUCAAAAAGAAACAUAAGUUAAUAUAAUUGAUUCAUUUAGUUUAAAUGAUAGUAUGAGAAAGGAACCUGUCGUUUAGCAUCUCUCCAGAGACGAAGAGUGGAUUCUUUGGGAGAGACAGAGUUGAGAUAAACCAAGACAGGACCAAAAACUUUCUUCCAUGGCUCUCCAUUUCUAUAAUCCAUUCUCAUCUCUUUUCCCGCAUAAUGCGUGCUCGUAAACAUCUGCAAAAAACGUAAUUAUUUUAGGGGAAUUAACAACGUUAUUAACAAUUUCCAAAGUAUGAAUAUCAUGAUUUUUGGAGCAUUGAGAAUUAGCAAUCAAAACCUAAAUAUAUAUCAUGAUUUUUGGAGUUUUAAGUGUAUUUAAAAAAAAAACGUAUGAUAAAUGGACUCACGGAAAGUGUGAUGGGUCCAGCAUGAGAGGUGAGGUCUUGCUUGAUGGGGCCACCAAGACGGAACUCAUCGCUCGGAGUUAUCAUCCAAAACCCAACCGGUGGGUCCGAUGUGAUCCAACCAUGCACAUUGUUGUCUUUGUCUUCCAUUGAGUACAUAUACUUAUCAUCCACCUGCGUCACACCAAAUGACCAAAUCAUUUCCCCAUUGUGUGUUGUUUUAACAAAGAUAUAAACAAAACUACCCUGAAAAAAGAGACAUUUAUUUACGGUGACUAUUUAGGAACGGUAUAAAUUUGUUUUUUUUCAAUCGAAAUACAUAACAAAUUAUCCACACAAAAAAAAAACCUUUCAUAUAUAAUAUAUAGUUUUAUCGUGUCAAAUAUAAGUGAAUGAUGUAAAUGCAAUAUAUUAUUAGAUAUGGAGUAUAUUAGAAACAUGUAUAUAUAUACCUCUCCUUUGAGCAUAGGGUUGCUUGGAUUUGUCAAAAGAACAGCUUCUUUGUAAGCUAAUGUCUUAGAAUUGUCUCGAUCCGCCAUCGAUGGCAUGCUUCUCUGUCGAUCAUCGGAUAUCGCCAUAAAAUCAAAUCUGAAAUUCAUAUCCCAAAAGCCACAAAUUUUUUCACUAAAUUAACUAGUUGAAAUUGGCAUUUAAAUAUAAAUAUAACUAGUGAAAAACGUAUGGUUACUUUUUCGGGUUGAGCUUGAAGACAAUCCUGAUUUGGUCCAUGUCCACGUCGGGCCAACCUCCUAACCUCUCCAAUAUACCGUACAUGUAUAUUCCGGAGACACCACUUCGAAUAAUAUAUCUUCAGAAAAAAUUUACAUUGGAUUAUUAAAUUAUUAAUUACUUUGGAGGUCAUAAUUAUUAAAUACACAUAAAUAUCUCUUAAUUAACGAUGAUCUCUACGUACCUUUUAUCUACGUUUAGGGGGACCAAGGAGCCUCGUUUGGAGAUGGUCCACGUUCUUGUAAAUGAAAUUUCAAUUUGUUCUUCGUUCUGUGUUAUGAUUUCAAAUUUAGUUCCUUCUAAUCUACGAAAAACACACACAAAAAUAUAAAACUGUUAACUUUACAUGUAUAAAUAUCAUCAGAUACAUCGAUUUCAUUGUUCGAUUAUUAUUUGUAAUAUAUACGGAAUAAGAAUAUUUUUAGUGUAUAAAAUUAUAUCACCAUAGAUUGAAAAAUUGAAAUAAAUAUAUACUUCACGGUAAGCAUAAAAAGUUAUAAAAUUGACUGCGAGAUAUAUAACAAAACAAGACAAGGAGAGUCUGCAAAACUCACUUGUCAGUCUCCGAUUUCUUUCCCGGUUCAUACCAGACUACGUCCCAAUACCUAUUUCCAUAACAAUACGCCCAAAAAAAUUGCAAUUAGACAUUAUUAAAAAGUUCUUUUGAUUAGUAUGUAUUUUCUUAAUGUAACAUGUUCCAAACAUAUAAAGAAGUUGUGUUACAAACUCUUAUGUUAAAAGAAUAAAAGAAUCUUACCCACGAUCCUCAAUUUCGUCGUCCAACACAUUGUCGAUACCAUGGUAUUUUAUCCCAGUAAUUAAGCCUUGUGGGCUCGAGAAAGUAACUUGAACAAUACCAUUAUCAAUUACCACCUUAAAACCAACAAAAUUCUUAUUAUAUUGUAAGAAUAUAUAUAAAUUUGAAAGAAAAAAAUAAUUGAAUAAUUCUUACCGUGUCAUCAUGACCAACUCUCCUUAGCUGAACUGUUAAGGCUGGUAUGUUUUGUCCAGGCUUUGUGAUGUUAAGUUUGUUUCUGUAAUAAAAAAAAGAUAAAUAAAUUAGACCAAAUCCGAGAGAGAGAGAGAGUAGGUAUUUUUGGAUUAGAAUUAUUCAUUAUUUCAUAUUUUCAUUUAAGUUACAAUAAUAUUAAUCGAACUGUUAAAACUUAAAAGUAUUUAAAAUAGCUUCAAAAAACACUUGAGAGUUUUUAGCAUUAAAAUUACUAAUUUAUUGGUCCAAUAGUUCUAGGUAGGGUCUACUAAUUAGAGUAGAUGAUAUGAAAACAAAUUUAUUUAUUUUUAUUCAAUUUUUUGAAAUUUUAACCAUAGUGAUCUAGCUAGUUAUUAAUUAUAAUGGUUGCCUAUAUCCAUGCAAUCAAAGGAAAAUAGUUUUUGGUCUACUAAUUAGAGUCAUUGAUCUGAAAACGAGUUAUUUCAUUUUUGUUUGGGUUUAAGAACUUCAACAUUAAAACUGUAGUAGUUAAUGUAUAUGGUACGAACUCCACUUGAAUAUGAACGGUCAAAUUAAUUAGUUGAAGAGUGUUGAAGACGGAAAGAAUAAUUCCAAUUGAGGGAACACAAAUAUCCAUCAUGGUAUUAAAAGGCAUAAAGAACAUAAAAGUACUAUAUAAAAAUAAAUAAUAGUAUAAAAUAAUCUGUUAAAAGAAAAUAUACCAAAUAUUUUUUGUAUUAUAUGUGUGUGAGAACUGAGAAGAAGAGAAGUACUAGUUUAAAAAGAAAGACAAGUAGGUUUUGAGCCGAAAGGUAAAAAGUAACCCAAUAUUUUUCCAAUGUUGUAAUUAAAAAAAAUAAACGAAGGUUGAAAUUUGAAAGAUUAAUAAGAGAAAUUCCAUAAACAUUGUAUUCUUCGUUUUUUUUUUUCGUUUAACGGAAAUAGUGACUUUUUGACACUCGUCUCGUGACGAUCUCGGUUUCCAGAUUCUCCUCUUUAGAUGUUUUACGUUAUAAAAUUUGAAUGUUUUAACAACAAAAAAAAAAGUAUAUGUUUUUUUUUGUCUUUCUAACAAUUGAUAUAUAUAUAUAUAUAUAUAUGCGUGUGCAUGUGUAGUUUAGAUAUAAAUCCAAAUUAAAGAAAGUAGCCAAGCAUUGUCAAUUUGUCAUUACCAACGAAACUUCAAUUAUGUUUUGGUAAACCAUUUGUCAUAUAGUCAAGGGAAUCAAAACCAUUUCAUGAACAAGAAAAAAUUAAUAGUACAAUAAUUACCUUUAAAAGUUAAAAUGGAAAACUCAGCAGAAAAAAAAAAGUUAAAAUGGAAAUGGAAUCAAGGGAAACCUUAGCUUUUUCUUUUGUUUAUUGCGUAUUGACUAAAAUUAAAGCUAAACAUUUAUUUUAAUUAUACUUUCGCCUUAAGGAUUUUUUAUAUAUAUAAUGGUUUAAUUCGUCUUAAGGCUUAUAAUUUUAUAAUUAUACUGUAUAAUUUCCUCAUGAACACAAGAAAAAAGACAAGUGAAAAACUACAAAACAGUGCACCAGAUUCUGAUGAAAAAAGUUAAGAACCUCUGUUUGUUCCUUUCAGUAAGUUUGACAUGUGAACUUGGAAAUUUAAAGCUUGUGAAAUCAAUGUUUGCGUUUAAAAAAAAAACAAAAAUAAGGUACAAAAAAACUAAAUGGGUAAAAAAGACCCGACCCGACACAAACAGAGAUGGGUUAAGAGAAAACGUACUGUGAUCUCUGAGAAUGAACACUUUGAAGAAGAAGAAGAAGAAGAAGAAGAUGUAGAAGAAGAACUUGCACAAUGAUCCGACCCGGCUUAUUCGCCGGAGCUCCAACUUUCAUCUCCACCACAAUUCACUAAACUUCCGACAUAGAAACCAACCGUUAAGGCAAAGAUACGUAUAUCAUCAACACACAAAUAGGCGUUUGUGUGAAUAUAUAGACAAGCAUUAAGAAAACCUUUUUUAAGGUUUAACUAAAAAUGAGGAUUAAUUACAAGGAAAAAAAUCUGCAACAAUGAAAAAGUAAUUAAGUUUACCUUUAAGAUUUUCUUGUGUUUUGGGUUUCUUGGUAAGAUAAAAUUUGAGGAAUGCAGAAGAAGAAAGAAAUCUUUUCCUUUUGUUCAAAAAAAAAAAAAAAAAAAAGAAAGAAAUCUUUUCCUAUGAAGAAGGUAAUCUCUCUCUCUCUCUUCUCUCUCUUCUCUCUCUUCUCUCUGAAAUUCACUGAUUAUUCUUUUUUAAGUGCUUACAAUAAUUAUAGGAUUAGAAUCUUAAGUAGCUUUAUAUAUCUCACAGAGUCUGCAUUCAGAUGUGGGGGAGGUGUAUAUAGAAAUAUAUGUGUGUAUGUAUAUGUUGCAUAUAUAUCUAAAUUCGUGGGCAUACGUAAUUGAUCUAGACCAUCUUAAGGUUGCAGGUGUGACUUUUUGUUGCCUAACCUUUUCAUCUUUUUUUAUUAUAAAAAAGAUAAAAAUGUAUUAAAUAGAUGAUCUUAUUUUGCUGUAAAAAUAUAUAUGUAUAUAUAUAUAUAUAUAUAUUAAAUUAAUAAACGAGAAAUAUCAUAUACUAUUUUUCAACUAAACAAAUAUUAUUGCUGUGUUCUAACUAAUACAUUCAUCACAUAAAAUAAAUAAGAAAAUGUAUGCUUUAGGUUAAUCGAUAUUACGAGUAAAAAAAACAGAAACUAUGAGACUUUUGUGUUAAGAAAAUGGGAACAUCGAACAUGAAGAAAAAUCAGGAUAAAAAAGAAACUGAACAAGAUUUUUUUUAGUUUACGAAUUCUAAUUUAAUUUAUAAGUAGUCUAACAGUUAAAUGUAUUACUACUACAUUCAUAACAAUGAGGUAAUUAAUAAUUUGAAGUUAUUUUUUCCGUUUCAAAAUAUAAUAUGUUAUAACUAAAAACACGUAGAUUAAAAAAUAUAUAUUUUAAAAUUGUUCAACCAAUCAUAAAAACAACUGCAUAAUAUAAAUAAUUAUAAAAUAUCAAACUAAUCUAUAAUUUGUUUAGAAACUUGAAAACAUAUUAUAUUACGAAACGGAGAGAAUAUAAAUUUUUAUCCCAACUUCAUUCAAACUUUGUCCCGAUUGAAAACACACUCCUAUAUGAAACGGACAUGGGUAGAUGAAAUCAAGACAGGCCAGACAGAACUUUUGUCCAUCCUAAAUAACAUUUACCAUUGAAAAAUAUUUACAUUCAUUUGUCAAAUUUAACCUUACCUCAUUGUCCCAUGCGCAAAAAGUUUCUGCUUCGUUUUUUUUUUGGACAAAAAUGUUUCUUCUUCUUUGUUUUAUUUGUUGUCGUUUUAUGAUGUAAUGAAACUUGUUGAACCUCUGCCUAUAAUUUGUUGUUAAGUUUCACAUAAAUGUUUUGGCAUUUCAUUUACUCACAAUUACUUUAACGUCUAAAUUUUUUUUUUUUUAAAAACCGUUUGUAUACGGGUAACCUCUACGAACUUAGAUUCGUCAAUCGGUCAGAGUACGGUCAACUUUCCGUAUCUUAGGCGAAGUACCAAAUUAAAAUUGUAAAGAAAAGUAGUAAUAACUACCGAAUGGUACAUAGAAUUUCUCUUACGACGACUUUUGGAGGGAUUCAAAAAUAUUAGUUAUUCAGAAAAUAUUACUCCCUCCGUUUCGUUUUAGCUGUCGUUUAAGGUUUUCUCACACAAAUUAAGAAAACCAUUAAAUGUUAUGUUUUACCCUUUAUUAAGAUAUUUUAUAAUUUUUUCAUUGGUCAAAACAUUAAAACAAUAGGGAUAAAACUGGAAUUUUUACAAAACAUUUGCAUUGAAAACCUAAAACGACAACUAUUAUGAAACAAAAUUUAAAUCCUAAAACGACAACUAAACUAAAACGAAGGAAGUAGUAUAUUGUUAAAAUAUAAAAGUCAGUGAACCAAAACGACGACUUAUGUGUGAAACACCCAUUAAAAAAAAAAAACUACGGGUCAAAACUCAACAAGUAUCCAUAAAGAAUUAUCUCUAGUGGGUAAUUAAAAAUUUUCUUCUUCUUCUUCAAGUAAGUGCACACUUCUUUGAUCGAUUUCAAUUAUACAACUUGAGAACUGUCAAUCCUUCUAACAAAACAAAUUCGACCGAAUUUUUGGUUUGAAUUUAGGUUAUAAACACUAUGGUGACACCAGUAUAUACAAUUAAAAUUAUAUAACCCGGUUCUACAUACAUUAUAUGCAUGAGUAGAUAUAUAAAUUAGUAGGAGUACAAGGAAUUUAUUUGGAAAAAAGUAAACAAAUACUUCCUCCGUUCCUUGAAGUUUGAUGUUCUAGUGUUUUGAGUUUGUUCCACAAAGAUUGAUUUUCUAGAUUUUUUUUUAUUUUUAAUUAAUUGAUUUUAGUAAAUCGUAGAUUUCAAGGUGUAAUGAUUAACUGUUUCAGAUUACUAUUGGUUCAUAGUUUAUUAAAAAAUAUUUAAUAAAAGUAAAUAAUUAAACAAUGAUUGUUUCUUAAGAAAUGUGAAAUGUCUAGAAAAUCAAUCUUCUAGGAACAGAGGGAGUAUAUAAUGGGUUAGUUCGUACGGUAUCAAAUUGGCCAAACAAAAUAGAAGAUGAUGAUGACAUAAUACCGAAAUAACGGUCUUAAUUUGACUUACACAUUAGGAUUUGAGACUGUAUCUCUCGACCCCAAAAGAAUAUUUAGAAUACAUUAUAGAAUAUAUAAAAAUCGCAUACUAUGUUGACAAAAAAAAGUUCUCUGGUAAUUAGGUAAUAACGAGAUGAUCUAACUCUACUACUUUUCUAUUACUUUUCGAUAACUUUAAGUGAUUAAGAGAGGUACUUAAUGCAGUCGAAAGUUGAAUGUUUCUAACUUUCUUUGCGAAUAACUUUUCUUACACAAAUUACAAAUACAAUUCUUGAUUAUAUAAGUCAUAAGAUACUUUUAUUUACCAUCUACACACGGAUAUACUAUCUAACCAUUGGAAAAGUACUUAUAAUACUAUUGCUAUAUCAUAUGUAGAUAAAUUAAAUCAAAAGAAAUUGCCAAACCUAAAACUUAAUUAAAGACAUCAACCAUUUAUAAACAAAUGAUGGCGCAUCAAGCCGACCCACUAUAUACAUACAUACAACGAUACAACAUAAUUAAAUAAACAUAAUUACAUAACAAACAAAAACACACCACUAUAUACAAGCAACGAUACAACAUAAUUAAAUAAACAUAAGUACAUAACAAACAAAGACACAUUUAGACUUAUGUGUGGCUGUAUGCAAAUUAGAGAUACUAUAAUAGUUACACGAUACAAAAGAUAAUUAAAAAUGAAGAUAAACAUAAAAAAGCGAAAAAGAUAUAUAUAUACAUUACAUUAUGGGUAUUAAUCUAAUAAUUACGGCAAAAAUGCGUUACAGCUUCGUGGUUUCGUUGGUGCAAGACAACAUUUUCAAAGUAGGUUAGUUACAAUGGUAGAGAGACUAUUUAAUUUUCAAUUUUCCUCUUUUGAAAAAGGAACAAAUUCACAUUUAAUUUUCUUAUUUCAAAAGUCAAAUUUGGUUGAGUUCUUCUUUCCCCGUAACCGUAAGUUUAUGUGUUUUUCAACGCAUCGUAAGGUUAAAGUUGUUGAAACGCAUAAUUAUCUUUGUGUAUCUAGUAUGUUUUCUUCUUCUUCUCGUUAAUGAUAUUCAUAUUAGUACUAUAGAGUAGGUUUGAUAUUGUUGAGCUAAGAUUUUGAUAUUCAUGGUUCUUUGAACGAUUGAAUAUAUAUUUGAGUAAAGCCUAUUUAAACUGGUACUUUUUUUUCAUUUCAACUUUCACAAAUCGCAAUUUAGGGAAAAAUUUAUGUUUCAAGAACGACUUCUUUUCUACCUAUAGAUCAUUUUGUUUGAAAAAUAAAACCAAAUUGUUGGAUAAUGCUUUUAGUAAAAAGAACAUAUGAAUUAUUUUUUGCAUAUUUUGGAAUUUAAGUUUAGGCAAAAUUAAAUGAAAUAGCAAAUAAUUAAUUCUUUUUGCAUGUGACCAAAUUGCCUUGAAAUUCAAGAGUCCAUAUAUAUAUGUGGAAAACGUCAUUGGUGAUGGGUUGUUGUUGCUUCAGAUAUGUUGUUGAUCGAACUUAAAGUCGCUUCAUUUGGUAUUUGUAAGUGAUCAUUGUCUUCCGGCUCAACGAAAGGUGCUCUUUCUCAAAAUAAUAUGAUGCAAAAUGGUUGAGAUGAACAUCAGUAAUAUGUGUAGUUUUAUGGCUAGAAAAUUGUCGGUAAUAAGAUACAAUGUGAUGUGCUAUCGGCAGUUGGAUAUGAUAAACCGUAUAUCGCGGUUCACAAAACCUUUCAUUGAGAAACAAAGCGAUCUACCCGUUGCUUGGAGUUAGUCUAAAAAACAAACAAUCUUUCAACUUUGUUGUAGAUAAUUCUGACUUUUAAAAAGGAAAUAAAAUCUGAUGCAGUUGAAAGUGUCUUUAAAAACUGCAUCAAUUCAUCGAUACUUUUUAGGGCUAUUGGACGUUGAAUUCAGUCCACUACAUUACACAAACAUAAUUGCAAUGUUAUCUUUUUCCUUUUUAAAUGCUCACUAUAAAAAUCAGACAAAAGGAUAAAUUUGAGAUAAUACGUGAUCAUGACCACAACUAAUAAAUAAGACUUAAUCAUGUUUCUGGUGAACAAACGUAUAAAUUAUGUCAAUUCGUCUAGUGUUGUUUUAGUUAGCUUAUAUUUUACUAAUUUCGCCUAAAUAAAAGUUAUUUGAUCUGGUUAACAAAAAAAAAAUAUAUAUAUAUAUAUAUUUGAUCUAGUUAUUUGUAUUGAGUUUCCUCUAUACUCGCUUGUAGGUGACACCUAUCCAAACCGAAACCAAACCGAAAACUGAUCCGAAUCCAACACCUAUCCAAACCGAAACCAAACCGAUGACUCAUAAAAUCCGAAUGGAUAAUAAACUCUCCUACCCAAAUUAUCUGAAUCCAAAUAUAUAUCCAAACCGAGACCGAACCGAAAAGUCAUAAAAUCCGAACGGAUAAUAAACUCUCAAAUCCGAAUAUAUCCAAAUCCGAAUAUAUCCAAUUCGAAUCCGAUCUGAAAUCCAAAUGCCCGGACCUACUCUCUUGCGACUAACUCCGGUGAAGGAUUAAAAAAAAAAAACUAAAAAUAGAUUUGUGCUUCUAGAAAAUUAAUUAACGAUUUAUAGUGAAGAAGAAAAAGGACAAAGAUUAGUCACAUGGAUAUCAUUGUUGAGGAUUCACAAGACUUGCUUAUGUCCCUUUUGCCCUUUACCAAAUUGUUUCUGUCUACUCUUGUAGAUUCUCCACAUAAAUGAUAACAUGCGUUCUCUUGUUUUUGCCAUAGUCUCUAUUUCUAUAACUUUUUUUUUUCUCUGUUAUUUAACUUUAAGCUAAUAUUUUUAGCGCCAGUUAAAAAAACGCAACUUAUUUGAAAAUUUGAUGGAGUCUUUAUAGUAAUUGUCAUAUUUGGUAUUAAAUUCAGGUUAACAUCAUAUGUGCUUUAGUAAAAAAUUGAGUGGAUCCGCAAUAAACAAAAGUAAUUAUUUACAUAUAAAAGUUAUUUUGUCGUGUUGAUCACCAAAUAAUUAAUUUUAAUCUGAAAAAAAAGAUUUUGGACUAGAGAGUGUAAAUUUUCCAAAAUAUAUAUAUGAACUUUUUUCUUCCAAACAGAUAGUAUCUGGUCUUUGUGGCUUCUUCUUCACCAUAUGCUAGCCUCUUUGGACUAACCAUGGCACUGCCUAAUCACAACAGUAUUUUUCAUAGUAGGCCUUCGGCCGGCCCGUGAGUCCAACAAGAGAGUGUCUCCAUUUCUUUAUUGCAGUCCACAAUCCAUAUAGAAUUGGUCCUAAAUCAAAUAAAAGGGAGAGCAAAUUUAAUAUGAUUUAUUUAUGAGAUGUUUGAAUUAUCAUUUCCAUGUUUUUAAGUUAAACCACGACGAAAACUUUUAUUUGAUAAAUUUAUAAUGCGACUAGCUAGAUGAAUGAAAAGAAAUAUUCAAAAUAGAAGAAUAACAAAAACAAGUUGGCUUGAUAUAAAUUAUCAACGUCUAAAGAAGUGAAGCAACGUAAAUUUCUCUACUAGUCAUCAUAAGUUCAUAACCAUCUUAAUCUAAAUUAGAGAGCACAAAAAGAAAAAAGAAGAAUAACAUAAAUUUUAUGGAUUAGAGAGAUCAUAAGGGAUUAAUAUGAAAGUAAAGAUGAUGGAGAAAAAAAAAAAAAAAAAAGAUGAUGGAGAAACGUUAUGGUUAAUUACAUCUGAGGGGCAGUCCUCAGGUUUGAGGAACUCUUAGCAAUUGUCACCACCAUUCACAAAAAUUUAACAACUGCAUGUAUUUCUCAGUUUAAAGAAUAUGAAAAAUGAAAUAAAAAGUCAAAUUGAAUGUGGUUCACUAACUUGUAGUAUAGUUUACUUACCCAUAAUUGGUGUGUAUAAGUGCGGACUAUUUUUUUUUUUUUUUUCCCCAUAAAUAGAAAAUGUUUUUGUACAAACUAAGGGUGUGACUGGAUGUUAUAAAUAGAGGAAAAGAAUUGGAAAGAAAAAUAAUUCUUCUCAAUUAUUCUGUCAUUCCUCCAAUCAAGAAGAAUUUAUUCACCGACCAAUUCUUCUCAAUUCUUCUACUUUUCAGUAGAAACAACUAUAAAAAUUUCCUCCCAUAAAUACAUGGUAUACAAAUUUCUUCUACUAUUUAUUUUUCUUUUCUUCUCAUUUCCUCUCUUAUUUUUCUUCUCUUUUCUUCUUAAACCAGACCAGUCACACCCUAACUUUUUUGGUUAACGUAAUUCUAUAUCCAUAUAAUAAGAGUUAAUGAAGUAUCAGUAAUUUUAUAAAAAUGGCAAUAACAUGAUCAACUGUUAAUGAAUUUAAACAAUGAACUCAUGAUGGCCAACAACCUUGGAACAUAUAGUACAAUUACAACCAGAGUUCAAGUUCCAAGGACUCAAAUUUCAAGCUUCAAUAAUUAAGUAACUAGCUAAAACCUCAUAAACCAGUGGCGGAUCCAGGAUAAUAACUUGUAUGGGGCACAGCUUAUGUGUAUAAUUAACAAUAUUAAAGGCUGUAAAAAAAAAACUAACAAUAUUGAAUUUACAUAAUAAAAUGAAACCAUACAUGACGGAAAAUAAAUAAAAUAAAACCAUAUAUUUUUACCUUUAAUCUAUAUUAUUAAUUGGGAAGCAUUGGAUAAUAAAUAACCUUAUAAAGGGUAAAGAAUUACAAAAAAUGCCAUUGGUUUUUAGUGUUUUUAAAUAACUUCAUUAAGGGUACAAUAGUAAUCACAAAAUUAAUAUAUUUAAAUAAAAAAUAGUUUAAUUCUUUUAAAUACUUAUUAAUUUCCAAAAAAAUAAACUAAUUUUCUCUCUCUUAUUAAUUAUAAACGAAAAUUUGAAAUUAAUUUUUUAAAAAUUGUUAACCAAUAGGAAUUGAAAAUCUAAGAUUUGAUAUCCAACUAAGAUUUUUUCUAAACCAAUCCUAAUAGACUAUUCUAUAUCAAAAAUAAAAAUAAAAAUAAUAUCAUUUUAAUUCAAAAUUAAAAAAAACUAUCAUUUAAAAAGAUUUAUCAAUGGAGGAUUUUAAGAUUGAAUUUGAAAUUUGGUAAAAAAAAUUAAAUGCAAAUAUUUUAAUAUUCAGUUUUGUUAUAAUAUUUUUAUUACAAAUUUUGAAAUAUAAAACGAAAUUUUAUUUCAUAAUUUCUAAAAAACCAUAUUAAAUAUUAACAAAUAUUUAUUUUUACUAUGAAAUAAACUCAAAUAAUAAUAAAUUUUAAGUAAUUAUCAUAAUGGUUUUCGUUUAGAGCAAUUUUCGAAAAAAUCUAAACAAUAGAAUGUACAUAUUAAUUUUGAAAUAUUUUGUGUUUUAUUUUUUUCUAUUCAACUCAGAUCUUCCUUAAAUAAUAACUAGAUGCAAAUAUUAUUUAAGGAAGAUUUUAAGAUUGAAUUUGAAAUUUGGUAAAAAAAUUAAAUGCAAAUAUUUUAAUAUUCAGUUUUGUUAUAAUAUUUUUAUUACAAAUUUUGAAAUAUAAAACGAAAUUUUAUUUCAUAAUUUCUAAAAAACCAUAUUAAAUAUUAACAAAUAUUUAUUUUUACUAUGAAAUAAACUCAAAUAAUAAUAAAUUUUAAGUAAUUAUCAUAAUGGUUUUCGUUUAGAGCAAUUUUUGAAAAAAUCUAAACAAUAGAAUGUACAUAUUAAUUUUGAAAUAUUUUGUGUUUUAUUUUUUUCUUUUCAACUCAGAUCUUCCUUAAAUAAAUCCAUAAUAUAUUGCACACAGUUUUUGAAAUUAUGUAAACUAAUUAUAUAUUUUGCAUUCAACACAAAUUAUGCAGCAAUAGCAUAUCCCUUUUAUAGAUGUAUCUAAAACUUUUAUUUUUAGUCCAAAUAUUGAACUAAUUAUGAUUAAACAAUGAAAAGAAGAAUAUGCAAAAUUUAGCUAAGGAAAGAAACAUUAAUAAAUUUGUUAAAAUAUUUGUAACUUUAACAUCAUACAUAUUAAUCCGCAAAACUCACCGUAUGUAUUUUAUGGUAUUUUAAACAAGAAUUUGGAACAUGGUUUUAAUGGAAUGAAAUGAGAAUAAGAAUUACGAGACGGGAUGACAGGGGAACAUAAAUUAAAAAUCAAACUUAAUACUCAACUGGUAUGAGUUUGUGUUAUGAGCACUAUAUAAAAUAAAUUUGUUUACACACAUAACCUUAUACGUACGUUUUUAGUUACAAUUUAUGACAGAUACGGGACCGUAAUAUUUUUAUUUCACGUAUACGAGACGGGUUAUGGGACGAAAUAUUUAUGACAUAUACAAGACGGGAUAGGUUUCCUGUUCCAAAAUAGUUACGCCUAGCUAAUAUACAUGAAAUAAUCCAAACUAAACCGCAUAUGUAUCCUAUUUAACACAUGUAAUCAAACUGUUAGAAAUGUUUUGAAUAGUUUAGAAAAUAAAAACGUAACAUCACUUAACUUUUGCAACUAAAUAAUAUCUUAAUUUUAUAUUAAAUACAAUUUCACACGUACGUGUAGGUCCGAAUCUUAAAAUAUAACUAUGCACUAACGCAACUAAAUUUCGUUCAUUACUCUAACUUUAUAAUAUCUAUAUUAUUACAAAGUUCACUAACACAACAAAAUAUUUUAUAUUUUUAAAAUCUAUAUAACAAUUUCUAAAAAAAAUAUCUCUGCACGUACAUGUGGAUCUAGAUCUAAUACACUAAAAUAUACAUCAUAAAAACAAUAAAAUAAUCUAUAUUGUAUGAAAAUUUGUAAGAAAUGUUUUUGAAAUAUGAAACCCCGCACGUACGUGCGGGUCAGGAUCUAGUAAUCUUUAAUUUAAAAACCUAAAAGAAAUCAAAAUGUUUGAAAGUACUAUAUCUAUAGGUUUCUAAAUAUACUAAAUUACAUAUUGGAUAAUGAAAAUACAGUUAAAAAUAACUUAAGAAAUGUAAAUAUAUAUUUAUCAUUAAAAUUUACAUAUAUAAAAAUAUCACACAAAUUGAAACUCUAAAUAUUAAAUAAACUACAAAAAGAUAGUAUUCUUUACUAAAUUUACUAAAAAAUAAUUAAAAAGUAGGUGUUAAUUUUUUAUAGUAGAGAAACAUGUCUUAAAAUAUGUUAAAAUUUAAACUGGAAUUAUAAUAACAAUAGAACCAAAAGAGAAAAUUUUAAUAUAAGAUAAUAAUAAAAAGUAAUAAUCACACCCAAAAAAAAAAGGAAUAGCGAAAAUGCAAAGUUGCAAACAAUUAUAAUGAAGAAUAAAAUUGUAGGAAGACAAUUUUUUUAAAAAAGGGACGUGGACAGUGGCUACAAAUAAAAAAAGUCAAAAAAGAAUAAAAAUAAAAGCUGCUGAAUAAGGGAAUCGAACUCGUCACCUUGCAUUUUGUAUGGGGCACACAUUGCCAACUGAACUAAGAAAUUUUGACAUACCAUUAGCAAUUAGACAAAUAUUAAUAAGAUCAUGGGGCACGUGCCCCACCCUUUGAUACUGUAGAUCCGCCCCUGUCAGAAACUAAAUGUAAUUUUAACUUUAUGGAGUAUUUGGAUUUAAAAAUUUGCAAAUGGAUAAUGGUAAUAUAUGAGUACUCUUUAUUUUAUGAAGUUCACGUGAAUAUAGUUCACUAAACCGGUGAUCCGACGAUAUUUUUGUACGAACGUAAGAUUUGCUUAAAAAACAAAAAAAAAACGUAACAUUUGCAUGAUAAUGUUGCAAAAAAAAAAAAAUUUAUAAGAAAUUUACAUUUGAUAAGUUUUGUUUUACAUUAAUUAAUAUCAUCAAUCACGGUAAUAAUCCUUUGUAGAUGUAUACACAUACAUUGGUAAGUGAUAGUCAUUAUAUAUAUAUGUUUCAUUAAUUUGUGUGUGUCAGUCAGUGUGUGUUUGGUUAAGAAAAAAAGGGAUAAAUGUAAUGGUCCAAUUUCUGAUAUAAAGUACAAAAAGAGAAGUAAGAAAUUGUAAAUGGUUAAAAGUUUAAAACUGAUAAAAGGUAUUAAUGUGUUUCUAGCUUAGUUGGUAAAAUUUUAUUUACCCAUAAUAAGUGUCUAUAAGUGCAAACAACUUUUAAUAAAUCUGCAGUAGUACAUUGGUUAAAUUUCCCUUUAAAAAAUCAAAAGUUCAUCAAAGAACCGGUGUCUAGUAGUAAAAGGAGAUUGUUUUUUUUUGUAUCUCAGGGUUCAAACUUACUUUGGUACAGAAAAGUAUUUUUUAAAAAUUGGAACAUCUAAAAACUGACUCUGGAUAUUGCUAAAAUUAUGGGUUAAUGAUUUGGAACUCUCACGGUUUAACAAAAAAAAUCACAAAUUAAUGACAAUAUAGUUAUUUUGGUAAGAGAUAAUGAAAUUACUAGAAAAAUGAUAAUAUACGACUUUAAUUUUCGUUGGAUCGUUUUGAUUGAUUUUUUUUUGUCUCCUUGUUUGAUUAAAUAACUAUUACUGCUAUAAUAAGUAAUUAUCAAUUUGCCAAUCAAAUUCAUACAUAUUUUCCAAAGAAAGUUAAAGCAGUUAUUUAUAAUUAGUUUUGAAAAAAAACCAAAAUCUUUUCUUUUAGAAGGAUCAAAAUGACACUGACGGCUGAUGGUUGACAUCUGGCAGGUAGAUUUUGUUUUUGUUUUCUUAGUUUCAUUUUAAGGAUAAACAUUAUCUGUGUUGGAGACUCGAGAUAUGAUUGGUCGAAAACAAACCCACAUGGUCACCAUGUUGUCAUUUUAGGUCCCACCUAAACUCUUCAAAAGCAUUAACAGUAGGGAUACUAAUUUUAAUUAGGAAAAACCUGAAGCACUGAUUUCAAAACUUUGAAGCAUAGAUUAGUAAUAAUUUAAUCUCUGUAAGUGAUAAAUUUUUUCACAUGCAUGAUAAUAAAAAACGAUCAUAUUUUGGAAAAACUAUGAUCGAGAUCUCUCAUCAGAAUUUUAACUAUUAUAAACUUUUAUAAAUAUUAAUCACGAAUGAUGAAUCUUCACACUUCUUUUUGGAAUCAAAGUAUCAAACUAUUGUGCCUACCAAAAAAAAAAGUAUCAAACUAUUGUUUCUUAGGUUAUUUCAAAAAAUAUCUGAAGCUGAGUUUAUAAGAAAAAAUAAAAAAUUCUGAAUCUGAUAUAUGUAGUUUAGAGUUAGAGAUUGAUACAUUUUCACUUGUAUUUAUCGUUUAUAUGGCAAAACUAUGAUCGAAAUCUUUUUUUUUUUUUUUUUGCUAUGAUCGAAAGCUCAAAAACUCUAUACAUAAAAAAUAUAUAAGAAUCAAGAAACUUGAUACUAUCUUUUUUGUUUUGUUUUUGGUUUUAAGAUACUAUAUUUUCUUUAACCAAAUUUGUAAUGAGUCACUCUAACUCUUGUAUUUUACAAUAAGUUUCUGCAUUUUUGGUCCAAAAAGCUUCUCUACUGAAUCAAAGCAAGUAAGUUUAGUAUCCUCCUCAGUCCUCAACCUUGAAAACUCGAUAUAUUGAUGCAUAUAUUUCUUUUGGAAAGUCUCUUUUUAACAAAAUUUAUUUGUAAGACUGAACAUUAUAGCAAAAGAAAUUUGUAAUAAAGAAAUUAAUGGUUAGUUCACAAAAAAAAAAAAAAAAAAAAGAAAUUAAUGGUUCAGGUGUAUAGAAUUAGAAUCUUAUGAUAUUGAUGGGGGAAAGCAUCUCCUAAUUGGCAUUCUCAGGAGCUGUUUCUGCUACUCUCACGUGUACGACUGUCACACUCACACAUUUGCAUAUUCCACAUUUCAACCAUAUAAUAUAAACUAUUCUCUCCGUCCAACAAAGAUAGAUUUUUUAGAAAUUUCACAUUCUUUAAAAAAUAAUGUAUAAUGACAAUUUUAACCUUUUAACUUUUUAACACAUUUUAAAUAGUAUAUUUUUAUUGUUGUUUAAUAAGAGUAAAAUAGGUAAACUGUUUUAAAUUUGACAUUGGAAACAUAAAACUUCUAUCUUUGUGGGACAAAUUUUUUUUCUAAAAAGUUCAUCUCUGUGGGACGGAGUGAGUAUUUACUAACAUAAAUUAUAUAUAUAAUUAGUUGUUGAUAUUAAUUGGAAUUCAAUGACCAUUAAAUGAAACUUUAAAAGCAGACAUAAAUCAAUUUCUAGUUUGGUUUACUUGGAAUAGAUGGUAAUCAAAAUUUGGUCUAUAUGUUGUGAAUGUCCUAUUGAAAACGGUAAAUUAAACUUAGAUCAUUUAAUUCAAUAUAUAAUGUAUACUGUACAUUAAGUAAAGUAAUUUAAUUAAGUACAGGUAAAUUGACUUCUAAUUAACGAGUUUGCUCAUUCUCUGAUAUGUAUAACUUGCCCUUUUUGGAAACUUGCAAUAGAUCUAAAUAUGUUGAUAGAGAAUAUAAUGUCCGCAACUCCUAGUUUAUGUCUGACAUGUGUCAACAAUUUUUGUAAUUUAUUUUAAUUAAAGAAAACUAUCAUCAAUUUUUAAUAUAUAUAUUCUCUAAAUUCUAUCUACCUUUUUACUUUCUUUUUUUUUUCACCAAAAAAAUAGAUUUUAUAGAUAAACAUGGAAUACAAAAGCCGGCAAGGGACAAACCUUUCCAGAGUCUAAGCCGGCGAGUACAUGAAGAUUCCCAGAGACAAAGAUCAAACUAAAGAGAAACCUUAGGCAGUGCCAUGCUAAGGCUAAUUGUAGCUUAGGGCGAAUAAAAAACAUGGCUUUUAUUACUAAAAAAAAAUCAAAAUAACAAAAAUAUAUAUUGUUUCAAAGCAUACACAGUAGUGAUAAGAUGAAAGAAAAGAAAAUUUCUAAACCACUAUUUUUCUAUCCUUUUUUUCCUAAAAAAUCAUUCAUUAAACUCAACUAAUUUUGUUUUUAAUUAAAUUUUUUAUUUUUAAGUGGUUGAUUGAUAAUUAUUUGAAGAAGGAAUACUCAAAAUCAAUUUCCUUUUUUCUUUCAAAUUAUCCUUUUCUUUUAAAUAUGCAGAUGAUUCCAAAACAAAUUUUUUUUAUUCUUAGUUAUCUUUUAUUAAAAUUAUCUUCCAUUAGUGCUAUAUUUAUAAACUAAAAUCCAAAGCAUGUGCAAAAAUUUCCUAAUACAUAACGUAUACAUAUUGAUAUUAUUCUAAUGUCAUGGGCUUCUCAAACAAAUACCCACUAUACAACUUAAUUACAUAAGCCUUAAAAAAAAUUCAAAAAAAUUUUGUGGCUUUGGGCAAAUGCCCUUUUCUCUUCCCAUUAAGCACGGUACUGACCUUAGGGAAAAAACCCGAACAACUAAAUACAUAACAUCCGAACAAAAACUUCCCGGAUUCAUAAUCCAAAGACUCAAAUUAAACUUACAAAGCCUAAAUCAAAAAUAAAAUAACAGAUCUGAGACUAGAAGACUCUCCUUACCACAACCUAAACUCGAUGGAAUGAGAGUCACUUGUAGGAAUGAAGGAGAUCGAGAUCUUCAAGGUGGAAUUUCAAAGUCUGAGGCGAAGAAGGAUCGGAUCGAACCUGCGCCUUUGCCAUGGAUGGAUCGGCCAGAUCUGAGGCUGAGCUUGGAGGAGAACAAAAGACAAGCCGCGAGAACCCAAAGGAAGAAGAUUUAUACUUUAUAAAUUUAGAUCUGAAAUUCUAGAUGUGAAAUCGUUGGAAGAAAAGAAGCUUGGAUGCGCCGGUAGAAAAAGGGAAACGAAACUAAAGCAUGGAACAAAGAAAAACCCCGGUUCCGGUGCUGAAAAAGCCACCGGAACUGGUAACCCUAGAUGGAGGGCGGCGGCUGCGAAAGUUUUUAGAGAGAAGGCGGAGAGAUUUUUUAAGAGAGAGAGAGCGUGUGUGCCAUCUACCUUUUUACUUAGCUAAG